GACGAACGCUGGCGGCGUGCCUAAUACAUGCAAGUCGAACGCAGUGGGGACGGGUGAGUAACACGUGGGUCACCUCCCAUAUGAGGAGAUAACACUUGGAAACAGGUGCUAAACCGAUACUGAUGGAUGGUCCCGCGGUGAAUUAGCUAGUUGGCGGGGUAACGGCUCACCAAGGCCACGAUGCAUAGCCGUCCUGAGAGGGUGAUAGGCCACACUGGGACUGAGAGACGGCCCAGACUCCUACGGGAGGCAGCCGUAGGGAAUCUUCGUCAAUGGACGAAAGUCUGACCGAGCAACGCCGCGUGAGUGAAGAAGGUUUUCGGAUCGUAAAACUCUGUUGUUAGAGAAGCGGUAUCUAACCAGAAAGCCACGGCUAACUACGUGCCAGCAGCCGCGGUAAUUC
rnacentral:rRNA from 1 species